GCCAAGUGAUGGGGUGACACAGGUUGGUAGCCAAGCCACUUAUUGGAUUGUGGUGUAAGCGUGUGGCCCGUGAUAUAGGUAAAUCCGUAUCACAUUCAAGGGUGAGGCGUGAUGCGUACCCAUUGUUGGGGAUGUUGGUGAUCCUGUACUGUCGAGAAAAGCCUCUAGCGAGUGUGUACAUGGCCCGUACCCAUAACCGACACAGGUGGUCAGGUAGAGAAUACCAAGGCGCUUGAGAGAACUCGGGUAAAGGAACUAGGCAAAAUGGUGCCGUAACUUCGGGAGAAGGCACGCUGGUGGUAAGUGAAAUCCCUGCGGGUGGAGCUGAAGCCAGUCGAAGAUACCAGGCCCCUGCGACUGUUUAUUAAAAACACAGCACUGUGCAAACA
rnacentral:rRNA from 11 species